CCACACUGGAACUGAGACACGGACCAGACUUCUACGGGAGGCAGCAGUGAGGAAUAUUGGUCAAUGGAGGAAACUCUGAACCAGCUAUACCGCGUGUAGGAUGACAGCCUUUUUUGGUUGUAAACUACUUUUGUAUAGAAAUAAAAAUUUCUACGUGAUAGUAAUCUGAAGGUACUAUACGAAUAAGUGUCAGCUAAUUUCGUGCCAGCAGCUGCGGUAAUACGUAAGACACAAGCGUUGUCCGGAUUUAUUGGGUUUAAAGGGUGUGUAGGCUGUUUAUUAAGUCAGUAGUGAAAGCUUACAGCUUAACUGUAAAAUAGCUAUUGAUACUGGUAAACUAGAGUAAGAUUGGAGUAUCUGGAAUGUAUGGUGUAGCGGUGAAAUGCAUAGAUAUCAUGCAGAACACCAAUAGCGAAGGCAGGAUACUAAAUCUUUAUUGACGCUGAGGCACGAAAGCGUGGGUAGCAAACAGGAUUAGAUACCCUGGUAGUCCACGCCCUAAACGAUGAUCACUAGCUAUUGGAAAAACUAUAUUCAGUGGCUAAGCGAAAGCGAUAAGUGAUCCACCUGGGGAAUAUAAUCGCAAGAUUGAAACUCAAAGGAAUUGACGGGGUUUCGCACAAGCGGUGGAGCAUGUGGUUUAAUUCGAUGAUACGCGAGGAACCUUACCAAGGCUUAAAUGUAUUACGAAUAAGCUGGAAACAGCUUAGUCUACAAGACGGAAUACAAGGUGCUGCAUGGUUGUCUUCAGUUCGUGCUGUGAAGUGUUUGGUUAAGUCCUAUAACGAGCGCAACCCUUAUUGCUAGUUGCCAUCAGAUAAUGCUGGGGACUCUAACAAAACUGCCAGUGUAAACUGCGAGGAAGGCGAGGAUAAUGUCAA
rnacentral:rRNA from 1 species